UCCGGUUUGUCACCGGCAGUCUCCCUAGAGUGCCCUUGCGUAGCAACUAGGGACAAGGGUUGCGCUCGUUGCGGGACUUAACCCAACAUCUCACGACACGAGCUGACGACAGCCAUGCAGCACCUGUGUUCCGAUUCCCUUUCGGGCACACCCAGAUCUCUCCGGGCUCUCGGACAUGUCAAGGGUAGGUAAGGUUUUUCGCGUUGCAUCGAAUUAAUCCACAUCAUCCACCGCUUGUGCGGGUCCCCGUCAAUUCCUUUGAGUUUUAACCUUGCGGCCGUACUCCCCAGGCGGGGCACUUAAUGCGUUAGCUUCGGCACGGAACCCGUCGAUAGAGCCCCACACCUAGUGCCCAACGUUUACGGCGUGGACUAC
rnacentral:misc_RNA from 1 species